GACGGACUUGAAAAUCCGUUGGCUUUAUUGACCGUGAGGGUUCAAGUCCCUCUACCCCCA
rnacentral:tRNA from 1 species